GCCUUCGUGGUGUAAUGGUCAGCACAUUCGUCGUGUAUUGAAGAGGUCCGAGGUUCGAGUCCCGGCGAAGGCA
rnacentral:tRNA from 1 species